rnacentral:rRNA from 1 species
CAAGUCGAACGGCAGCACGGGAGCAAUCCUGGUGGCGAGUGGCGAACGGGUGAGUAAUAUAUCGGAACGUGCCCAGUCGUGGGGGAUAACGCAGCGAAAGCUGUGCUAAUACCGCAUACGAUCUCUGGAUGAAAGCGGGGGACCUGCAAGGGCCUCGCGCGAUUGGAGCGGCCGAUAUCAGAUUAGCUAGUUGGUGGGGUAAAAGCCCACCAAGGCGACGAUCUGUAGCUGGUCUGAGAGGACGACCAGCCACACUGGAACUGAGACACGGUCCAGACUCCUACGGGAGGCAGCAGUGGGGAAUUUUGGACAAUGGGCGCAAGCCUGAUCCAGCAAUGCCGCGUGCAGGAUGAAGGCCUUCGGGUUGUAAACUGCUUUUGUACGGAACGAAACGGUUCGCUUUAAUACAGUGGGCUAAUGACGGUACCGUAAGAAUAAGCACCGGCUAACUACGUGCCAGCAGCCGCGGUAAUACGUAGGGUGCGAGCGUUAAUCGGAAUUACUGGGCGUAAAGCGUGCGCAGGCGGUGAUGUAAGACAGAUGUGAAAUCCCCGGGCUCAACCUGGGACCUGCAUUUGUGACUGCAUCGCUAGAGUACGGUAGAGGGGGAUGGAAUUCCGCGUGUAGCAGUGAAAUGCGUAGAUAUGCGGAGGAACACCGAUGGCGAAGGCAAUCCCCUGGACCUGUACUGACGCUCAUGCACGAAAGCGUGGGGAGCAAACAGGAUUAGAUACCCUGGUAGUCCACGCCCUAUACGAUGUCAACUGGUUGUUGGGUCUUCACUGACUCAGUAACGAAGCUAACGCGUGAAGUUGACCGCCUGGGGAGUACGGCCGCAAGGGUUGAAACUCAAAGGAAUUGACGG